rnacentral:RNase_P_RNA from 1 species
CCAGGGGACCGGGCGACCGCGGCGGGAGCAAUUCCGGCGAGGAAAGUCCGGGCUCCACGAAACGACGGUGCCGGGUAAUGCCCGGCGGGCUUGCGGCUUCGGCCAAGGGUUCAGGGACAGUGCCACAGAAAGCAUACCGCCGGUCUUCGGGCCGGUAAGGGCGAAAGGGUGCGGCAAGAGCGCACCGCGCGGCUGGCAACAGGCGCGGCAUGGCAAACCCCACCGGGUGCAAGACCGAAUAGGGGCGUCAUAAGGGUAACUUAGAAAGUAUCGCUUUUUGGGGAACCAUUGGGGGCUGUUUCGCCUCGACGCCCGGGUUGGUUGCUUGAGCGGCAGGGUAACCUGUCGCCUAGAGGAAUGGUCGCCCAGGCAUCGCAAGGUGCUGGACAGAACCCGGCUUACAGGUCCCCUGGCAUU